GGGAUGCUGGUUAUCUUUUAAAAUGGGCCAAAUACAUUUUACACUGUACCAUCAACUAUCCAGGACCAAGGGGGACAUACACGAACUUUCAUCGCUUACGUCAGGGAGAGAGUAUUUCAAGUGUGGUGUCCACCUGGUCCAGAGAACGUAGCCUAGACUUCUCACAGAUUCGAGCAUCCUCCGGCUGCAGGACAAAAAAUGACGAGGGAACAUGUAAUCAUUAUCAAAAUCUGAUGAGGGAUGACACAGAUGCCAUGGCCUGCGAAGCCAAGUUCUGCAGCGACAGUCGACAGUUGGUUUGCCUCUACGCCGCUAACUCAGUUCGCACCUGGGAGCAACGAUCUUACUUCCCCAUCACUCGUGCACCCCGCCCCAUCACCCGUGCACCCCGACCCAUCACCCGUGCACCUUUCACGCGAGCACCCCGCCCUUUUACGCCAGCACCAUACCUGCGCACUACCAGGUCUUACUUCCGGUUUCAAACACAAAGGGAUCGCAGAACUCAGAGCCCAAGGGGGCGGUUAGAUACCAAAACAGGACCGUCAUGGUAUCAAAGAACAUAGGUCUCUCAGGUCACACUCAGGUUACUGGAAGCUUACAAACUAAUCGAGAAGAUAGAGGGAAGAAACUACCCUUAUUCUGUUCAACUUAUGAUUAUUUGGACAUUACAGUUUUGAUACUUUCCCUUUGUCUCUAGCAAAAUGAUCCCCAGUUUUUAAAGACCUAAAGUGUAGGUCUACAAGAAAAUUAAAUUAAACAUUCGUUGAAAAUGAAAAAAAAUGUUUUUAUACUCUUCGUGUAAGGCAACAGUUUAUUUAAAGUAAAAAUAGCUAUUUAUUACCACCACCCCCCCCAAACAACUGCAAAGAAUUUAACAUUAAAAACUACACCACAUAACGAUAGUCAACCUACCAACAACAAUGUCCUAGUUUUAGUUUUGUAAGUAGGUCUACUAACAAUUAUUAUUCAAACAGCAAAAGAUACGGUACUGAAUAUUGAAUUUUAAAUGUUUUAAACGUUUCCCGCUUUAUUGCUUCAGACAUUUUAGGACAUCAAUAUCUUAAUGAUCUAUUCAUUUACUAGUAUUACUGUAUUACAUUCAUGUCACUUUCUGCUUCGCAUGUACAAACAAAGAUAUACAUACAACUAAACCCAAAAUAUAACCAUGUAAACUUAUUACCAAGAGUCCAAGAGAACUUAACCACCUUCAAAUCUACUCCACUACUAAUAACUAUCAACGUGACACACUACCCUCAAACUUCAAUGAGUAUCUGUCUUGUAGGUAUAAAAGACUUUGCCUGAUUGGUAGCUAAUAACAUGUAGCUACAGCAGAAGGAGUGAGAGAUGGGAGGCUGUGUACAUUGGGGAAGUCGACUAUGUUAGUCAAGGAGGUGUUGCUUCAUAGGGGUUCCAUUUCUAAUCCCCCACGAAAAUGUCUAGACCACUGUCCCUCAUUCCCAAAGCUGUUAGCACCGAGGAUUUGGACAAUACUCUUUUUUGUACCUAUAUAUCGGGUCCCUCUGAGAUGAGUAUACAUUGCAGUGAGGGUAACUUUAAGAAAAAUACAAAGGUUGUUUACAGAAAUAAUUAAAUUAGUUGACAACUAAAAAAUAAAAAAGAAAAUAAAAAAGGGAUUGGCUGAAAAAAUUGCAAUUAAAACUGAAAUUAUGGCCGAAAUUUGUGAGAUUCUUAACCCUCAUUCGUCAUAUCCCCCCCC
rnacentral:sRNA from 1 species